rnacentral:rRNA from 1 species
CGCGUGUAGCAGUGAAAUGCGUAGAUAUGCGGAGGAACACCGAUGGCGAAGGCAGCCCCCUGGGAUAAUACUGACGCUCAUGCACGAAAGCGUGGGGAGCAAACAGGAUUAGAUACCCUGGUAGUCCACGCCCUAAACGAUGUCAACUAGCUGUUGGGGCCUUCGGGCCUUAGUAGCGCAGCUAACGCGUGAAGUUGACCGCCUGGGGAGUACGGUCGCAAGAUUAAAACUCAAAGGAAUUGACGGGGACCCGCACAAGCGGUGGAUGAUGUGGAUUAAUUCGAUGCAACGCGAAAAACCUUACCUACCCUUGACAUGUCUGGAAUCCCGAAGAGAUUUGGGAGUGCUCGCAAGAGAACUGGAACACAGGUGCUGCAUGGCUGUCGUCAGCU